rnacentral:lncRNA from 1 species
GUUGCGACAUGUCGUAACUUAUAAAUUUUGAUUGGAAGGGUGCGUAGACAAUAAAAUGGGAGUUUUUGCCCCUCUUAUAUUUAGAAUUAUGCGUAAAGUGAUAUUACUCAUGAACCAUACAUAAUACUGACCUAGGGUCUUUUGAUUUGGGAUCCUUGGUUUAUGACCUUGAAAUUGAGGUCAAGGUCAUAGGUUAAUUGGACGUUCUAGAUUUUGACCUUUGCUCCAAAUUCAUAUUUUCAUAUCAUAAAGCCAUAGCAACUGACAUUUUCAACUGAAUCUUAAUAUUUUCAUAUCAAAAUAGAUCCUUAUUGGUUGAAAGACCUUCAAUUGUUCUUUGAACAAUUGGUUUUUAAUUU